UACAGAGGGUGCGAGCGUUUAAUCGGAAUUACUGGGCGUAAAGCGCGCGUAGGCGGUUUUGUAAGUCGGGUGUGAAAUCCCCAAGCUCAACUUGGGAACUGCAUUCGAGACUGCAUAGCUAGAGUAUGGGAGAGGGAAGUGGAAUUUCAGGUGUAGCGGUGAAAAUGCGUAGAUAUCUGAAGGAACAUCAGUGGCGAAAAGCGACUUCCUGGACCAAUACUGACGCUCAUGUGCGAAAGCGUGGGGAGCAAACAGG
rnacentral:rRNA from 1 species